rnacentral:rRNA from 1 species
GACGAACGCUGGCGGCGUGCUUAACACAUGCAAGUCGAACGGAAAGGCCCUGCUUUUGCGGGGUGCUCGAGUGGGGAAGGGGUGAGAAACACGGGAGUAACCUGCCCUUGACUUCGGGAUAACUUCAGGAGACUGGGGCUAAUACCGGCUAGGAGCUCCUGAAGCAUGGUGGGGGUUGGAAAGUUUAGGCGGUUGGGGAUGGACGCGCGGCUUACCAGCUUGUUGGUGGGGGAGUGGCUUAGGCAGGGUUUGGCUGAUAGCCGGCCUGAGAGGGUGACCGGCCACAUUGGGACUGAGGUACGGCCCAGUCUCCUACGGUAGGCAGCAGUGGAGAAUAUUGCACAAUGGUCGGAAGCCUGAUGCAGCAACGCCGCGUUCGUGAUGACGGCCUUCGUGGGGUAAACCGCUUUCGCCUGUGACGAAGCUGUAUUGACGGUAAUGGGUAAAGAAGCACCGGCUAACUACGUG